rnacentral:misc_RNA from 1 species
GAUGAAGAACGCAGCGAAAUGCGAUAAGUAAUGUGAAUUGCAGAAUUCAGUGAAUCAUCGAAUCUUUGAACGCAUCUUGCGCUCCUUGGUAUUCCUUGGAGCAUGCCUGUUUGAGUAUCAUGAGCAAAUCUCAAAGUCAAUUCCUUUUGUUAAUUCAAUUUGGUUUUGCUUUGGACUUGGAGGUCUUGCAGAUUUCACAGUCUGCUCCUCUUAAAUGCAUUAGCUGGAUCUCAGUAAUUAUGCUUGGUUCCACUCGGCGUGAUAAGUAUCACUCGCUGAGGACACUGUUAAAAAGGUGGCCAGGAAAAUACUGAUUGAACCGCUUCUAACGGUCUAUUAAGUUAGACAAUUACCCUUAAGUUUGAUCUCAAAUCAGGUAGGACUACCCGCUGAACUUAAGCAUAUCAUAAGCGGAGGA